rnacentral:rRNA from 1 species
GACAGAGGGUGCAAACGUUGCUCGGAAUUACUGGGCGUAAAGCGCGUGUAGGUGGAUUGGUGUGUCAGAUGUGAAAUCCCUGGGCUCAACCCAGGAACUGCACCUGAAACUACCGGUCUUGAGUGGUGGAGAGGGAAGUGGAAUUCCUGGUGUAGAGGUGAAAUGCGUAGAUAUCUGGAGGAACACCGGUGGCGAAGGCGGCAUCCUGGACCAAUACUGACGCUGAGGAGCGAAAGCCAGGGGAGCAAACGGG